rnacentral:lncRNA from 1 species
CACUAAUCUGAUUUCUGUCUUAAUGAGACGAACUCUUCCAGAUAUUUUAUGUAAAUAGAAUCAUAUUCUGUGUAGCCUUGUGUGUCCAGUUUCAUUCACGGAAAUGCGUUUCUUAACUCUAAAAACAAUCCAGUAAAGAUGCAAAUUUUAAUUACUGCACAGUCAGGAAGGUAAUGCAGUGGCAGCUAGUUAUGUCUGAUGGCAGCAGUCCAAGGCUUUCAAGAUUUCUUCAGCUUCUGAAGGUGACAUGAGGA